CGCCCCCUGCCGGGCCAUGGCGCCGCCACAGCGCGGGCUCCUGAGGGGACGGGACGGGGUCGGGGCGGCCCUGGCUGCCUUCGCUGCUGCUGCGUUUACGCGGUCGCGUGUAAAUACCUAAAGCGAGGGCGUCAGAACAUGGACCAGGCUCUGCUCGGUGGUGCCGAGCAAUAGGACUCAAGGCAACAGGCAGAAACUGAUGCACAGAAAGUUCCACACGAUCUAAGAACUUCAGUGUGCAAUGAGCGAGCACUGGAACGGGCUGCCCAGGACUUGUAUAAAAACAUCGGGUUUCUUCCUUUGACACAGCAGUGUCUCACGGCUGCCUCUCCUGGAGCCAGUGACAGGUGCGGCUGCGAAGAAAGGCCAACAAAUCCCAACUCUCCAUCCCAGCUCUUUAGAGAAAGGCCUAGAGACCACACUUACAAGCCUGGAGCUGCCACCCAGCUAGGAGGUGCUGCAAGGAGGAGAAGCAAAAGUAGAGGUUGAAAUCAUUGCAACAGGGGGAUGAUGAUUCUAUAAACACGAGAGCACUGCUGCACUUAGCAAAAAAUCAACUGCACAGAGUAAUUGCAGUAAUAAACUUGCAGAAAAGAAACCAGUAGGCAGAGUGGAUCGUAAGCAGAACACAUCAAGUUCAUGAGGUUGGAGAAGGCAUCCACUCUGCUGAGAUGCAUAAUCAGGAGAGUUGCCACCAAGGUAAUUUUGUGAAGUUGUGAAAAGAUAGGGUGGGAGCUAGAAGGGUACAACAACAAACAGUCGUGUGUUUCAGAACUGAUUAAAAGAAAAUAAAGUAUCUGUGCUUUUAAUAAAAAACCAACCCAAAAGAGAGACUGAACAAAAAUACGGAAACGGUCUUAAUUUGUGCAAAGGACUGCUGCAAAAAGAAAGGAAACGUUGUCCAUAUUAAAUUGGAAUGUAUCAGCUAAACUGCAGCAAAAGGUAUUUAAUCCAGACAUUCAAAAAAGAGAGUUAAGGACUAGACUAGACUGCCUGAGGAAUGAGUGGAAUCUGUGUUUAUGGCUUUAAGAACAGGUUAUGCAAACAUCCUUUGAGGUUGUUUUCAUAAUAGUUUAUUGUGCCUUGGGGCAGGAGGAUGACUGAGAAUCCAGGUAAGGUCACUUUUGGCUCUCUUGGUUGCUUUUUAUUUGGGGAGGGGACAUGUACAGUGUAAAGCUUUAACAUCUACAUGACCUCAAACAACAAGCACCGAGGUUUAGGUGUUUCAAGAAAUCCCUAACAACCAGUGCAAGUGCUGUCUUUGUUAUUCCUCUCAUCUUCUUUCCAGAAAUGAGACACACUAAGCUCACCCACACUAAUACAGGAACCCACACAGUGGGUUUUGGGUGUAUUUGCACAGUUUACAACACUAAACCUGACAGCCUUGAUUAAAAUUUUGCUGCACAGUUGAAUUCAAGGUUAUGUGAAAAUAAAACAGGUCUUUUUCCAUACACUUACAAAAAUAUUUCUGUAGUCUAAAGUUCAGCUAGCACUUAUCUAUUAACCUCAAAGUCAAUCCUAUUAUAUUUGAUGUUAAUACAAAUGUCACAAAAGACAGUGUAAUCAAAAAUAUAUAUUCUUAUUUAAGAUUGUUCUUUUUAUAAAAAUCUUGGUAUCAACUGCAACAGCAGCAUAACAUAGCUAAGCCAUGCAUGCAAUUACCAGUCCAAAGUGUGCUAUAAGACUUCUGUGUAUGUCUGCCUUCUAAACACAUAGAUUUUACCUUAUGUCAACUGAUAACUACUUAAAGUAUUACUUCAAGUAAUUUUGAAAUGCACUUCCAAGUGAACUUUGAAAAGAAGAGAAUGGUGUAACAAAUCUUUUAGGAUUCAGAACUUAAUUUGCACAAAAGGUUGUUUAAUGAAGAUUUGUUGAAUAAAACAAGCAUUCAUUUUUUUCAUUUUUA